rnacentral:lncRNA from 1 species
UAGGCAGCCAUCUGACUGUACUACCCAAAGUCUGCCCAAAUGAGGAUUUCCCUUCACCACUCUUUGAAGGCCACUCCUAGUGGAUUUUACACCCUGAAAACCCCUCCAUAAACUGGAGACUGAAAUCGAAGAAAUGGCAUUUGCUGUGUUAAUAGUUGCAUACCUGUAGCCAGUGGCUGUACUGAUUUUCUCAGUAAAUUACCACAUCUGGAACCAAAGCUACAGUUGUCAUCCUCACCUGAUUAAGUAGGUGAUAAUGUACAGUUAUUCUCCAGACUUAUCUGAGUUUUGUACAGGCCCAACAAGCUAAAUAAAUGGCCACUAUGGUAAGACCCAG